UACGUAGGGUGCGAGCGUUGUCCGGAAUUAUUGGGCGUAAAGAGCUUGUAGGCGGUUUGUCGCGUCUGCCGUGAAAAUCCGGGGCUCAACCCCGGACUUGCGGUGGGUACGGGCAGACUAGAGUGUGGUAGGGGAGACUGGAAUUCCUGGUGUAGCGGUGAAAUGCGUAGAUAUCAGGAGGAACACCUGCGGUGUAGACGGCUUACUGGACCAUAACUGACGCUGAGGCACGAAAGCGUGGGGAGCGAACAGG
rnacentral:rRNA from 1 species